rnacentral:misc_RNA from 1 species
GAUGAAGAACGCAGCGGAAUGCGAUAAGUAAUGUGAAUUGCAGAAUUCAGUGAAUCAUCGAAUCUUUGAACGCACAUUGCGCCCGCCAGUAUUCUGGCGGGCAUGCCUGUUCGAGCGUCAUUACAACCCUCAGGCCCCCGGGCCUGGCGUUGGGGAUCGGCGGAAGCCCCCUGUGGGCACACGCCGUCCCUCAAAUACAGUGGCGGUCCCGCCGCAGCUUCCAUUGCGUAGUAGCUAACACCUCGCAACUGGAGAGCGGCGCGGCCAUGCCGUAAAACACCCAACUUCUGAAUGUUGACCUCGAAUCAGGUAGGAAUACCCGCUGAACUUAAGCAUAUCAAUAAGCGGAGGA